AAAUUGAAGAGUUUGAUCAUGGCUCAGAUUGAACGCUGGCGGCAGGCCUAACACAUGCAAGUCGAACGGUAACAGGAAACAGCUUGCUGUUUCGCUGACGAGUGGCGGACGGGUGAGUAAUGUCUGGGAAACUGCCUGAUGGAGGGGGAUAACUACUGGAAACGGUAGCUAAUACCGCAUAACGUCGCAAGACCAAAGAGGGGGACCUUCGGGCCUCUUGCCAUCGGAUGUGCCCAGAUGGGAUUAGCUAGUAGGUGGGGUAACGGCUCACCUAGGCGACGAUCCCUAGCUGGUCUGAGAGGAUGACCAGCCACACUGGAACUGAGACACGGUCCAGACUCCUACGGGAGGCAGCAGUGGGGAAUAUUGCACAAUGGGCGCAAGCCUGAUGCAGCCAUGCCGCGUGUAUGAAGAAGGCCUUCGGGUUGUAAAGUACUUUCAGCGGGGAGGAAGGGAGUAAAGUUAAUACCUUUGCUCAUUGACGUUACCCGCAGAAGAAGCACCGGCUAACUCCGUGCCAGCAGCCGCGGUAAUACGGAGGGUGCAAGCGUUAAUCGGAAUUACUGGGCGUAAAGCGCACGCAGGCGGUUUGUUAAGUCAGAUGUGAAAUCCCCGGGCUCAACCUGGGAACUGCAUCUGAUACUGGCAAGCUUGAGUCUCGUAGAGGGGGGUAGAAUUCCAGGUGUAGCGGUGAAAUGCGUAGAGAUCUGGAGGAAUACCGGUGGCGAAGGCGGCCCCCUGGACGAAGACUGACGCUCAGGUGCGAAAGCGUGGGGAGCAAACAGGAUUAGAUACCCUGGUAGUCCACGCCGUAAACGAUGUCGACUUGGAGGUUGUGCCCUUGAGGCGUGGCUUCCGGAGCUAACGCGUUAAGUCGACCGCCUGGGGAGUACGGCCGCAAGGUUAAAACUCAAAUGAAUUGACGGGGGCCCGCACAAGCGGUGGAGCAUGUGGUUUAAUUCGAUGCAACGCGAAGAACCUUACCUGGUCUUGACAUCCACGGAAGUUUUCAGAGAUGAGAAUGUGCCUUCGGGAACCGUGAGACAGGUGCUGCAUGGCUGUCGUCAGCUCGUGUUGUGAAAUGUUGGGUUAAGUCCCGCAACGAGCGCAACCCUUAUCCUUUGUUGCCAGCGGUCCGGCCGGGAACUCAAAGGAGACUGCCAGUGAUAAACUGGAGGAAGGUUGGGAUGACGUCAAGUCAUCAUGGCCCUUACGACCAGGGCUACACACGUGCUACAAUGGCGCAUACAAAGAGAAGCGACCUCGCGAGAGCAAGCGGACCUCAUAAAGUGCGUCGUAGUCCGGAUUGGAGUCUGCAACUCGACUCCAUGAAGUCGGAAUCGCUAGUAAUCGUGGAUCAGAAUGCCACGGUGAAUACGUUCCCGGGCCUUGUACACACCGCCCGUCACACCAUGGGAGUGGGUUGCAAAAGAAGUAGGUAGCUUAACCUUCGGGAGGGCGCUUACCACUUUGUGAUUCAUGACUGGGGUGAAGUCGUAACAAGGUAACCGUAGGGGAACCUGCGGUUGGAUCACCUCCUUA
rnacentral:rRNA from 1 species